rnacentral:rRNA from 1 species
GUGGGGAAUCUUGCGCAAUGGGCGAAAGCCUGACGCAGCCAUGCCGCGUGGAUGAUGAAGGUCUUAGGAUUGUAAAAUCCUUUCACCGGUGAAGAUAAUGACUGUAGCCGGAGAAGAAGCCCCGGCUAACUUCGUGCCAGCAGCCGCGGUAAUACGAAGGGGGCUAGCGUUGCUCGGAUUUACUGGGCGGAAAGGGCGCGUAGGCGGACAUUUAAGUCAGGGGUGAAAUCCCGGGGCUCAACCUCGGAACUGCCUUUGAUACUGGGUGUCUUGAGUAUGAGAGAGGUGUGUGGAACUCCGAGUGUAGAGGUGAAAUUCGUAGAUAUUCGGAAGAACACCAGUGGCGAAGGCGACACACUGGCUCAUUACUGACGCUGAGGCGCGAAAGCGUGGGGAGCAAACAGGAUUAGAUACCCUGGUAGUCC